rnacentral:rRNA from 1 species
UACGAAGGGGGCUAGCGUUGUUCGGAAUGACUGGGCGUAAAGCGCGCGUAGGCGGAUCGGUAAGUCGGGUGUGAAAUCCCGGGGCUCAACCCCGGAAUGGCCUUCGAAACUCCCGGUCUCGAGUUCGAGAGAGGUGGGUGGAAUUCCGAGUGUAGAGGUGAAAUUCGUAGAUAUUCGGAGGAACACCUGUGGCGAAGGCGGCCCACUGGCUCGACACUGACGCUGAGGCGCGAAAGCGUGGGGAGCAAACAGG